CAGUACAGUACCGUACAGUACAGUGCAGUGUAGUGCAGCACAAUACAGUACCGUACAGUACAGUGCUGUGUAGUGCAGCACAGUACAGUACAGUACAGUGCAGUGCAGUGCA